UUUACCAGCAAAAUCAGUUUAUUUGGGAAUAGGAAAGGAAUUGCAAUUUGGGACAAGCACACUAUAGCAAAAGCCACAGUCAAGUCUAGCACACAAAGGAGAGGGACUUUAUUUUAUAGAGAAAAAGGAGGAAGUUGGGAGGGUUGUUUUGAACAGAAGCCCAUUGGUGGAAAACAAGGUCUUGUUCAGGGUGGUGACUGUUUCUCGUUGGCUGGGUUGCUGGAGUGGUCUUUCUUGUCUGGAAGGCAGUGGACGUCUCUUCCGGGGCCUGUGACGGACGAUCUUUCCUGGAAUUGACGCAGAGCGGUAGUGCUGAGGGCUCCCCCUUCUGGCCUCCCCACUCCAUUUUGUGUAAGGUUUCCCUUUAUUAAUUUUCACACCUUGAAGAGUCUGUUGAUAGAAACAGAGACAUUCAAGGCGAUUCUGUGAGAGCUUCUGAAAGAGUCAGGAGGGCUGUAAGAAAGCGUCUGUUCCCUUAAGGAACAUGUAUAUUAUCUGCACAGAAUGUUGGUGUGGGGCCUGGUUUACGAACGCUGAAGGUGCUGCUGGGGAGGCUUUCGAGGAAAUGAUGAACACGUUAUUGGACACUGGCAGAAAAGCAGUGCUUGUUAUAAAGUGACGGAAACUUGGCAGAAUUGUGUUCUGUUGUCAGGUAGAAAGUAGAACUUACAAGGGGUGAACUUGGAUAUUUUGGUGAGGAGAUUGCCUAGCAAAAUGUGGAAGGUGCAGCCUGGUUUCUCUUUCCUGCUUAUAGGAAAAUGCAAGAGGAAAGAGGUAAAUGGAGGAAUGAAUUGCCGGAGAGAUUAGGAGUGUGACUUGCAGAUCUAACCAACCGUUUCCACAGAAACCCUGCCAGCGGGACUGAAGUAGGAGAGAAAACAGAGAUACAGAGACACACAGCAACACGGGAGAAGGCCGUGUGAAGAUGGAGACAGAGACGGGACUGAUGCGCCUGCAAGCCAAGGAUUGCCCAGGGUGGCCAGCAGCUGGUGGAAGCUAGGAAAGAAGCGUGGAAGUAUAACCGAAAGUUCAGUCCCUGAACCCGAUGCCAAUUCAAAUAACGAGAACGGUCUUGAGUGGAAGAGGAAAGUCUUUACUAUGCCAGGCACAGGGAGCAAAGCAAGGGCUCAUGCCUCAGAAAUUGCUGGCUCCCCGACAAGGAAUGGGUAGGGGUUUUUAUUUGGGGUUUUGGGUAGGUGAGGGGGAACACGUAGCUUGUGCAGCUCGGUGCUUUUCCACCAGCCUGCGUUUGGCCUUGAGAGGCUGCUUGCAGUGAGGCGGGGGUGGGGGGUGGGGGGAUAGGAGGAUGGCAGGUGGGCGUCCUUCAUCGUUGUCUCUUGUCUCGUCUUCCUGUUUGAGGCAGGUUCGUGCGCCGGGAGUGAGGAGUUGAGGUCUGGGAAGCCUGCCCUCCUUGAUAUUCUUGAGACAGCGGCUUUCCUGGCAGACUUCAAGGACAUAUGAUCAGCUAAACUUUAGUGUGCCUCCCAUUCCAGGCCACCUGGGCUUUUCACAAUUUGUAACUCCCAUUUAGUUAUAAAGCUCAAGGAGGCAAAGGUUAAAGAAAGAGGUGUUUACAUAUGAGCGGAGCUAGAGAAGCAGGAAAGGGGGUGGGGGGGUUAGUUUUAACCCCAUAUACGCUGCGUUCAAUGUGGGGGAACAGAUAUCAGGGCUCAUGUUAAGAGCCUGUAGCAGAAAUCUCUGUCAGAGGCUCCAGUAGGAACCAACCCUGUCAGCACCUCGAUUUUAGACUUCCAGCCUCUAGAGCUCUGAGAGAAUAGAUGUCUGUUGUUUUAAACCCCCAGGCUGUGGCAGUUUGUCAUGGCAGCCCUAGGACACUAACACACAGACUUUUAGAAGUAAUGACAUGGCAAUGACCUUUGGGGAGGCAGGCACGUGAAAGGCAGGCACGUGAAAGGGUGGACAGCAGUAAGCUCCUGGAGGACAAUUUGGGCAAUAUCCAUAAAAAUGGACAGGCAUGCGCCACUGACAAAGUAACCCUACUUCACUGUUGGUCACAUACAUUGUAACGUUGUUUGAAACAAUAAGCAGGAGUCUGGAUAGAUAUAUUAUGGAACAUCCUUUCAAUGCAAUACCUCACAUAAAGAACACAACAGUGUAACAUUUCAUUUCUUCAAAAAAGAGAUUUGAGGCACAUAUGGUGAAAUGUUUUUUAGAAUAAAAUCACAUCAUGGGGAUGCAAUAGCAAGAUAUAUAAUGGGGGGCCAGCACCCUGGCCAAGGGGUUAAGUUCGUGCUCUCUGCUUCGGCAGCCCGGGAUUUCGCUGGUUCAGAUCCUGGGCGCAGACAUGGCGCCGCUCAUCAGGCCAUACUGAGGAGGCGUCCCACGUGUCACAACUAGAAGGAACCGCAACUAAAAAUAUACAACUAUGUGCUGGAGAACUUUGGGGAGAAGAAGAAGAAGAAGAAAGAUUGGCAACAGAUGUUAGCUCAGGUGCCAAUCUUUAAAAAAAUAUAUAGCUCUAUCUAUCUAUCUAUCUAUCUAUCUAUCUAUCUAUUUAUCUAUCUAUCUACACACACACACACGCAUACACGCACAAUGUUGCGGAGACCUCCAUAGGACAAACUAUCCAAUUUCUUAAACAAGUAAAUUACAAGGAAGGAAAAAACAGAGGAAUGAGACACCUAUAGCUUAAAAGAGAUUGAAAAGGAUUCUGUUCCUGCUGUGCCAGAGUAAGCACCUACUGGAACUGACCUGUCUGCAGAGAACUAGAAACUCUGAACAAAAUUAAAUAAAACAAAGCAAUGACCAUAAGAUACUAGAGAGCGAAGAGUCUCUGGAGAGUAGUCGACACCGGAGAGAAGGGCUAACUUGGAAUGAAUUUCCUGUUUCUAUAGCUUUUAGCUUAAAGGUGAGCAAUAGUCCGUGUGGCAUGGGGUGGCUAAAACUCCAAUAAAAACCCUGCAGUCUUUCUGACCUCAACACCUGGAGGACAGAGUUCAGGCAAACCACAGCUGCUAGAAAGUGAGCAAGGGAUUCUGGAAAAAAGAGGAGACAGAGAAAAGAAGCCCUAAAUUCUCCUGUAAGGAGCCCGUAUAGACGGUUCCCCAGUCUCUGGCUUAUCCCUGAACGGCGCCUGCGCCGGCAGGCUCGAAGCAGCCCAGCAAAGAAUAGAGAACUGAACUGAGAUUUGAGCAGCCAUCCAAAAAGACAGAAUCUAAAGUCUGAGUUCAAGUGAGCAGGUUAAUUGUCUACUAAAAAAGACAGUUUUUUCUAAGACACUCUUCAGAAGACUGUAACAGAGUUUAGAGUCUCCACGACAUACCAGUCACAUUAUCUACGUCACAAUAAAAAAUUACUCCACUCUGAAGAGCCGGGAAGAAAUGACCCAUUCUCAAGAGAGGAAAGCAUCCUUAGAGACUACUCCCAAGAUGACCCAGAUAUUAUAUAGCAGACAAGAAUUUUAAGGCAGUGAUCACAGUUAUGCUCAAUGAUGUAAAGAAGAAGUCAGCAAAUUUUUUCUGUAGAAGGUCAGAUAGCAAAUGUUUUUGGCUUUGUGAGUCACACAGGAUCUCUGUUGCAACUGCUCAACCCUGAAAUUGUACUGUGAAAGCAGUCAUAAGAUAGUGUGUGUAAACAAAAGAUAUAGCUGCUUUUCAGUAAAACUUUAUUUACAAAAACAGACAGUGAGCCAAAUUAAAUCCACAGACUGUCAUUUGCUGACCCCUGACAUAAAGAAAAAUAUCUCACAAUGAAUGAAAAGAUAGGAAACCUCAGCAGAGAAAUAAAAACUAAAAAAAGAACCAAGAGGAAAUUCCACAACUGAAAAACAGGAUGCCUAACAUAAAGAAUUCACUGGAGGGGCCAGCCUGGUGGUGCAGCAAAGUUCCCAUGUUCUGCUUUGGUGGCCCGGGGUUUGCCGGUUGGGAUCCCGGGUGCGGACAUGGCACUGCUUGUCAAGCCAUGCCAUGGUGGGUGUCCCACAUAUAAAGUAGAGGAAGACGGGCAUGGGUGUUAGCUCAGGGCCAGUCUUCCUCAGCGAAAAGAGGAGGAUUGGCAGCAGAUGUUAGCUCAGGGCUAAUCUUCCUCAAAAAAAAAAAAAAAGAAUUCACUAGAUUGGGUUUAACAACCAAACAUAGAUGACAGCAAAGUAGUAAGUGAGCUUGAGGGUAGGGCAAUAGAAAUUAUUCAAUCUGAAGAAUAGGAAAAAUAAAAACCAAAUAGAACCCCAGGGAUCAAUGGGACAAUAUCAAAAAGGGUAACAUAAAUGCAAUUGGACUCCCAGAAGGACAGAAGGCGGGGAGAGAGGGUUAAAAAAAAAAAAAAAAAAAAGAAGAAGAGGAAUUGAUAGCUUAAAACUCAACAAUAAGAAAACAAACUCUGAUUUUAUUUUUUUUUAAGAUUUUUUUGUUUUUCCUUUUUCUCCCCAAAGCCCCCCAGUAUAUAGUUGUAUAUUUUAGUUGUGAGUCCUUCUAGUUGUGGCAUGUGGGACGCUGCCUCAGCAUAGCCUGACGAGCAGUGGCAUGUCUGCGCCCAGGAUCCAAAGCGGUGAAACCCUGGCCACCGAAGUGGAGCGUGAGAACCCAACCACUCGGCCACGGGGCCAGCCCCAUAACUCUGAUUUUAAAAUGGGCGAAAAAGUUUACCUGGCAGAUGAGAUGCCGUGAUCACAAAGGUGGUUUCCCCAGGACAAGGCUCAUCCAAUGCUCACCCCUGUGAUUUCCCCACGUGUCCUAGGAGGGGACUGCUCUGUGUUCACGUUCUCCCCUGAAAAAAAUGGGCAAAAAGCCUGGACAGACACCUCACCAAGGAAGAUAUACAGAAGGUACAUAAGCCAAGUAACUCAUGAGUCAAAGAAAUAAUCACAAGAAAAAUUAGAAAAGAUUUUGAACUGAAUAACAAAAAUAUCAAAAUUUGAGGAGCUAAGGCAAUGCUUAGAGGAAAACUUAGAGUCCUAAAUGCCUGUAUGAGAAAAGAAGAAAUAAGUGCCUAAAGUCAAGUACCUGAGGAUCAACCUUAGGAAGCUGAAAGCGAAGAGCAAAGUAACCUCAAAGUAAGUAGAAGAAAGGAAAUUCCAGUUCCAGAAACAAAAAACAAAACAAAACAAAAUAAUUGUUAAAACAGCAAGGCCAAAAAGUAGUUCUUUGAAAAGAUCAACAAAAUUGAUAUACCUUAGCUAGAGCAAUUAAGAAAAAACAGAAAUACACAAGUUAGUAAGAUUAGGAAUGAAAGAGGGCUAUUGCAACAGAAAUUGACAGCAUUAAAAGAAGAAUUAGAGAAUAUUCUGAACAAUGUCAGCGCUACAAAUUCAACAGGUUAGAAGAAAGGGACAAAUUCCUUGUAAAAUGCUGACACAAGAUGAUAAAAUAGAAAAUAUAAAUAGAAUUGUGUCUAUUAAAGAAGUUGAAUUCAUUAAAAAAAAAAAAUCUUCCACAAAGAAACUCUAGGCCCAGAUGAUUUUACUGGUAGAUUCUACCAAAUAUUUAAGGAAGAAAUAACACAUAUCUUAAACAAAUUAUUUUUAAAAACAGAGGAGGAUGGAACACUUUCCAAGUCAUUUCAUUGAGUCCGUAGAACUCUGGUUCCAAAACUUAAAAAACACAUUUUAAAAAUUGCAAGCGAAUAGUCUUCGCUUGGGUGGAAAACUCCAUAAGAAAAUAUGAGCAAAUUCAAUCUAGCAGCAGAUGAAAAGGAUAAUACAUUAUGAGCAAGUGGGAUUUAUCCCAGUCAUGCAAAAUGGGUUUGGCAUUUGAAAAUCAAUGUAAUUCACCAUACUAGCAUCAUAAAGGAUAACCAUACUUCAGUAAAUUCAGGAAAAGCAUUUGACAAAACUCAACACAUUCACAAUAAAAACUGUUAGUAAACUAGGAAUAAUAAGGAAAUUCCUCAAUCUGAUAAAGCCCAUCUAUUAAAAAAAAAAAACCUACCGUUAAUAUCCUGUUUAAUAGUGUUCCGUAAGACUGGGAACAAAGUAAUACCAAAUCUAUUUAACAUUGUACUGGGGGUCCUAGCCACUGCAAUAAGGCAAGGGAAAAAAGGCACAAAAAUCUGAGAGAAGAAUUAAAACUGACUCUCUUUGUUGAUGACAAGAUUAUUUAGAUAGAAAAUCCUACGGAUUCUACAGCUACUAGAACCACAGGAUACAAAAUUACUGUCCAAAAUUUAACUGUAUUUUAUAUACUGAGAGCAAACAACUGGAAAUAAAAUCUUAAAACAUUUCCAUUUAUACUAGUCUCCCCCAAACCGUGAAAUUAGAAGUAACAAGAGACUUGCAAGACCUACACUGAAAACUAUAAAACAUUGUUGAGAGAAAUUACGGGAUAUUUAAAUCAACAGAGCAAAAUGCCAUGCUCAAGAUGUGGAAGGCACACUACCCCGAAGACACCAACUUCCUCCCGCACGGAUCCAUAGGAUUGGCACACUUCUUCUUAAAGGGCUGGAUAGCAAUUAUUUUAGGCUUGUGUGCCAUAUGGUCUCUGUUGCAACCUCUUAACUCUGUCAUUGUAGCGUGAAAGCAGCCACAGACAAUAAAGAAAGGAACAGGCAGGGCUGUGUUCCAAUAAAACUUUAUUUACAAAAUAGGUGGCUGGCUGCCACGGGCUGGGUUUGCCCAAAUUUAUAAAUUGAACACAAUCUCAAUUGUAAUCCAAGCAGGAUUUUAGUGGAAAUUCACAGUCUGAUCCUAAAAUUUAUUUGAAAAUUCAAAAGACUUAGAAUAUCCAAAGCAGUCUAAAAAAUGAAGAAGAAAAAGAACUUACAUUAUCUUACUUUAAUACCGACCAUAGAACCACCAUAAUCAAGAAAGUGUGGUCCUGGCGAAAGGACCGACAGACCAACAGAAUAGAAGGGAAAGCCCCGAAAUGGAGCCGUAUUUCCACAGUCAGUUGAUUUUGAAAAAGGCAUCAAAGCAAUCCAAUGAAGAAAAGAAAAUCUUUUCCACAAAUGGAUCUGGAAUCGCCAUACGUUCUUACGGAAAAAAAUGAGCCUCAGUGCCCAUUUCAUACCACACAAAACUCAAAAUGAAUUCAAGACGAAUCAUAGUGAUAAGCAUACUAGACAAAGCCAUAAGCUUCUGAAGGAAAACAGGAGAAUGUCUUCAGGAUUUGAGGGGUCGACAAAAAUUUCUUAGGUCACAGAGAAUAAGAUAAAAUUUGAUAAAUGAAAUUUUAUUAAAUAAAAAACUCCUGCUCAUCAUCAGGUUUCGUUAAGAAAAAUAAAUAGGCAAGCCACACUGGGAGAAAAUAUUCGCAAAACAUAUAUCUGAAAAAGGACUAGUGCCCAGAAUAUGCCUAUUUUUAAAAUAGGCAUAUAGUCCUUUUGCAGAACGCCUAUUUUUAAAAAGCCUCCAAUCAAUAAGGCUGAGACUAGCAACUAAAUUUUAAAACAGGCAAAAGAUUGGAACAGGCACUUUACUGAAGAAGAUGUAUGAAUAGCCAAUAAUGAAAAAUAUUCAACAUGACUAUGUUCAACAUCAGGGACGUGUAAAUUAAAACUAUAGCACACAUCCAUUACACACGCAUCAGAACGGCUAAAAUUGAAAUACCUGACAGCAUUAAAGAUUUCUGAGGAUGUGGAGCUGGAAAUCUCAGACGUUGUUGGUGGGAACGUGAAAUGGGACAACCGUUUUGGGAAAAGGUCUGGGAGUUUCUUGGAGAACUAAACGAUGCCUACCCGAUGACACAGAGUUCCACUCUCUGAUGCGUGCUGAGAGAAAUGAAAGGACAUUUUCACAAAAAGUCUUGCACGGUCAUGUUCACAGCCACUUUAUUCAUAACAGCCCCCAGUUGGAAAGAGCCCUCGUAGCACCAGUAGGAGCACGUUGGAACAAACCGCGGUUCGUUCCCUCACUGGAAUCUACUCACCAACGGGAAGGAACGAGCUGCCGCUGCCCACAGUAAAGGUGAACCUCAGAAACAUUGCCCUGAGUGAAAGGAGCCUUACACAAAGGAAGCGUAGAGUAUGACCACAUUUAUAGGAAGUCCUAGAAGAGGCAAAAUAAAUCUGCGUUGGAAGAAAAUCAGAACAGGGGAUGCCUCUAGGAGACUGCAGGUGGGGAUUGAAUAGAAAAGGGCAUGAGGGUACUUUCUGGGUUAUGAUGAUCUUCUGUAUCUUGACAUAUUUCAAAUUAUACUCAUGUACGUUUUUGUCAAAACACAGAAUAUGACAGCUAAUAUGUGCACAUUUCAUUGUAUAUAAUAUCCCCCCCUUUUUUUUUUUGCUGAGGAAGACUGUCCCCGAGCUAACAGCGUGCCAGUCUUCCUCUAUUUUGUAUGUAAGAGCCGCCACAGCGUGGCCUGGUGAGCCGUGUAUGUCCACGCCCGGGAUUCGAACCCACAAACUGCAGGCCGCAGAAGGGGAACGCGCAAACUUAACCACUAUGCCACUCAGUGGACCCUCCAUUUUUUUAUUGUGAAUUUGCCUAUUCUAGAUGCCCGGAGCUGCGCUGUGCUGGGAGACGGAGCUGAGCUGUCAGUGCUGGGGCAGCGGGUGAAAGCAACAAGCCAAAGACGAAAGGGGGAAGCUUUAAUCACUUACUGCGGUGACAGAAGCGAGAAGGCACCGACGCCCCGUUCCAUCUUCCCCCAUGAGUGGCGCACCUGUGGAGGGUCAGGUGGAGCAGAGCACGUGUUGAGGGGACCCCACAGGGAGGAGGAGGGGUGGGUGUGGAGGAGGACAGCGGGGAGUGGAGGAGCACUGGGCCCUGAGUCAGGGGGGCAGUAUCUUGGUGGUCCCCCCUCAUCCCCACCUAAAGAGGCCUCACAGAGGCGCCUGGAGAAGAGCCCUGCCUGAGGUCGCAGAUAGCGACCUAGGAAUGGAGGCACCCGGCUAGGAAUGUAAAUGGGCGAGGAGAAGGCCGGCCAGGGGCAGAGUCCUCGCCUGCAGCUCCCUCAGAGCCCGCAGUGCCCGCCGCCGGGCCGGGCUGCUGGGGGAAGGGAGCUUCCCCACCCCUCCCCGCAUGGCCACCAGGGAAAGCGUUUGUAAUGGCCUGUGGCGGCCAAAAAGUCGCACAAAGACGUUUAACCCGGAGCCCGACUCCUCACUACAUAUUUCAAAAAUCAGACAGACAUAAUUGCAUGGAGCUACUUCUGAGCCUCUAUUCUAACCCCUUGAGCUAUGCAUCCAUCCCUCCUCAAUAUCACAGAGUCUGGAGAUGUAUGACAAGAUGCGUAAUCAGCUCACCUGUGACCACUCAGCUGGAGACAACAGACUGCCACCCUGCUGUGUUCACUGAGACAGAAGACCUACCUGCUGUUUCCAUCAAUCGCUGUGCCGACAGAGCAGUCUCGCGACUAUUGUAAAAGAGACAUUUCAAUCCUAUGUGAAACAUCCUCUCUGGGGGUAUAUAACCAGUCUCUGCACCCCACUUCUUUGGUGCCCUUUCUUCCUUCGGGAAGAAAGGCCCCGGGUUAUAAUCCUCAGAUUUAAGCUCAGAAUAAACUCACCCAAAUUUUCAUU
ensembl:lncRNA